ensembl:lncRNA
CAGGCUUGUGGGUCUGAAUGCAGCAGUGAGGCCACAGCAAUGCCCAUCCCUGGGCUGUUGCCUCCAAUCUUCCUUUCACAGAAGACCUGUCUAAGUGUCUGAGGAACAGCCUCACCAGUGCACUAAGCUGUGUUUCCCUGCUGGGCCAUGCUAUCCACAGAUUUAUUUCACUAAGGCGGUCACAACACAAAGUACUAUACCUACAAGCAGAAGUAUUUGCUGUAAAUUGGAUGAAGAAAUCCCCAAAGGACAGGGAGUGGUUCUUUUCCUGAUUUGUGUGUACAGAAGAAGGAAAAGCUUAGAGAAAAAAGACAUUGACGUGGAGGAGUUUAAACUGAGAAGUAAACAUAAAGGUGUGGAUUGAAUCUCUGGUUCAGGAUGUGCCUGGUCUACAGGCUGCCAAAGCCUGGUUUUCCCUCUGCAACACUAUCCAUAGCCAGAGGCACCGAGCAGCAGGCAACUGGGAGCUUUAAUUUCCAAGUUUUCUCUCAGUGAAGACCAGCAGCUGAUAGCAGUACUGACACUGGUGGUGGGAUUCUGGUAUUUCACCAGCACAGCUCAAGUGAACCAGUCUGCUAUGAAACCUUCCCAUGGAAAGGCUCUGCAAGUCAGGCUUCCCUCCAGAGGUCACCAGAAAGCCAUGGCUCAGACUGCCAACCAACAACCAAAUUUCAUGGACACAAUAUAGAGGAAAGAGAUUAGGCAAAAAAAAAAAAAUUUAAAAAAAAUUGCAUAUAUCUUAAAAUCUUCUGUAAGAACUUCUGAGGCUUUUCAUCUCUGGUUACCAAACAAGAUACUAUUUGACGUUUUUUAACCAUUUUAGCAGUGCUAAGGGUACCGCUCAAAAUUAUUGAAAUUGCAGGUCUGAGCACUCAGCUGCUCUAAAAAUCAGGUCUUGUGUGGGUCAUGUUGGUCAUUUCCUCUGAAUGAACACUUAAGAAAAUGUUAGCUUUCAGCAAGUUGGUUCAGACUAUGAAUCCACUCUGGCAGAGAUGGGAACAGAACUCAGGUUUUCUGACUGACUGAUCGAAUGGCUCAACUGUGCUAUCGCCAAGAAAGAGACUUUAAAGAAUGACUCUGAAAGGUUAUUUUCAUUGAAUUGCUGAGUACAUAAAAUGUGUUGAAAGAAAGGGUAAAACUUCUUGAAAGGGUUUAGAAAUGGUUAUAUUUCUAAUCUGUUGUGGUAGGAUUUUAAACUCCAGUGUUCAGCGAACCUAGACUGACAAAUUUAUUAUAGUUAUAAGGCUGAGAAACCUAUUAGAAAAAAUAUAAUAGAAGGUACAUUUUUGUGAGGCUUUAAUAGGAACAGAAACAAUUCAACAAAAGACUAAAUUCUGUAAGGUGGGAAAAGUCAUUUAUUAAAUCUUUCUAAAAAGAUUGACUGACCUUUCUUUAAAAAGUGGGGCCUUUUUGUCAAAAAUGAAAAGCUCGAGCUUCAUAACAACAACCCAGUAAAAGGGUUUAUUAGAAAUUGGCUUCCUGUACAAGUUCAGUUAUUCUUAUUUUCAGUAAAUGUUGGUGUUAUGCAGCAAGAGAAGCACUGUUGCCUCUCUAAUUUCUCUCUGGAACUAAAGAAAUUCAUAAUGAAAGCAUUAAAAAUCUAAACAGAAAUUAAAAAAU